rnacentral:rRNA from 1 species
UACAGAGGUGGCAAGCGUUGUUCGGAAUUACUGGGCGUAAAGGGCGCGUAGGCGGUUCGUUAAGUCCUGUGUGAAAUCCCCCGGCUCAACUGGGGAACUGCACAGGAAACUAGCGGGCUUGAGUUCGGGAGAGGGAUGCGGAAUUCCAGGUGUAGCGGUGAAAUGCGUAGAUAUCUGGAGGAACACCGGUGGCGAAGGCGGCAUCCUGGACCGGUAUUGACACUGAGGCGUGAAAGCCAGGGGAGCAAACGGG